rnacentral:rRNA from 1 species
UACGAAGGGGGCUAGCGUUGCUCGGAAUCACUGGGCGUAAAGCGCACGUAGGCGGAUUGUUAAGUCAGGGGUGAAAUCCUGGAGCUCAACUCCAGAACUGCCUUUGAUACUGGCGAUCUCGAGUCCGGGAGAGGUGAGUGGAACUGCGAGUGUAGAGGUGAAAUUCGUAGAUAUUCGCAAAGAACACCAGUGGCGAAGGCGGCUCACUGGCCCGGUACUGACGCUGAGGUGCGAAAGCGUGGGGAGCAAACAGG